CCAGCCCGCUCAGAAACUCAAGGAAGUUGACGGGGCCCGCACAAGCGGUGGAGCAUGUGGUUUAAUUCGAGGCAACGCGAAGAACCUUACCAGGCCUUGACAUGCAGAGAACUUUCCAGAGAUGGAUUGGUGCCUUCGGGAACUCUGACACAGGUGCUGCAUGGCUGUCGUCAGCUCGUGUCGUGAGAUGUUGGGUUAAGUCCCGCAACGAGCGCAACCCUUGCCUUUAGUUGCCAGCAGUUCGGCUGGGCACUCUAAAGGGACUGCCGGUGUUAAACCGGAGGAAGGUGGGGAUGACGUCAAGUCCUCAUGGCCUUUAUGACCAGGGCUACACACGUACUACAAUGGCCGAUACAAAGGGCAGCGACACUGCGAGGUGAAGCCAAUCCCGUAAAAUCGGUCUCAGUCCGGAUUGGAGUCUGCAACUCGACUCCAUGAAGUUGGAAUCGCUAGUAAUCGUGGAUCAGCAUGCCACGGUGAAUACGUUCCCGGGCCUU
rnacentral:rRNA from 1 species